UAUAUUGUACAAAAAGCACAAGUCUUCCAAUCCAAGAAGGAGAAGACACUUAAUUACAUGUUUUGAGGAAGCGAAAGGCUGCCACUCAAACUUAGAUCUAGAGAUUACAGCCAAACUCAGCCUCAUCUACUUGUAAGGAAAUCAAGAGGAAUUUGGCUUAGGAAAGCUAUGAUUUGAUUUGAUUUACUGUUAAGUUUUUUGUUUUGUUUGUUUGUUUGUUUUGAGACGGAGUCUCACUCUGUCGCCAGGCUGGAGUGCAGUGGCAUGAUCUCGGCUCACGGAAACCUCCACAUCCCGGGUUCAAGCGAUUCUCCUGCCUCAGCCUUCCGAGUAGUUGGGACUACAGGUACAACUUGGCCAAGUAGAAAUCAAAUGCCCCAUCACAGAGUGUUUUGAAUUCUUGGAAGAAACAACUGUUGUCUAUAACUUAACGCAUGAAGACUCCAUCAAGUAUAAGUACUUCUUGGAACUUGGCCGUAUUGAUUCCAGCACCAAGCCAUGUCCUCAGUGCAAGCACUUUACAACCUUCAAGAAAAAAGGACAUAUU
rnacentral:sRNA from 1 species